rnacentral:rRNA from 1 species
AGUGAACGCUGGCGGUAGGCCUAACACAUGCAAGUCGAACGGCAGCACAGUAAGAGCUUGCUCUUACGGGUGGCGAGUGGCGGACGGGUGAGGAAUACAUCGGAAUCUACUUUUUCGUGGGGGAUAACGUAGGGAAACUUACGCUAAUACCGCAUACGCCCUACGGGUGAAAGCAGGGGAUCUUCGGACCUUGCGCGAUUGAAUGAGCCGAUGUCGGAUUAGCUAGUUGGCGGGGUAAAGGCCCACCAAGUCGACGAUCCGUAGCUGGUCUGAGAGGAUGAUCAGCCACACUGGAACUGAGACACGGUCCAGACUCCUACGGGAGGCAGCAGUGGGGAAUAUUGGACAAUGGGCGCAAGCCUGAUCCAGCCAUACCGCGUGGGUGAAGAAGGCCUUCGGGUUGUAAAGCCCUUUUGUUGGGAAAGAAAAGCAGCAGGUUAAUACCCCGCUGUUCUGACGGUACCCAAAGAAUAAGCACCGGCUAACUUCGUG